AGAGUUUGAUCCUGGCUCAGGAUGAACGCUGGCGGCGUGCUUAACACAUGCAAGUCGAACGCACCUUCGGGUGAGUGGCGGACGGGUGAGUAACGCGUGAGAAUCUGCCCUUAGGAGGGGGAUAACGGCUGGAAACGGCCGCUAAUACCCCAUAUGCCGAGAGGUGAAACGAGAAAUCGCCUGAGGAUGAGCUCGCGUCUGAUUAGCUAGUUGGUGAGGUAAGAGCUUACCAAGGCAGUGAUCAGUAGCUGGUCUGAGAGGAUGAUCAGCCACACUGGGACUGAGACACGGCCCAGACUCCUACGGGAGGCAGCAGUGGGGAAUUUUCCGCAAUGGGCGCAAGCCUGACGGAGCAACGCCGCGUGAGGGACGAAGGCCUCUGGGCUGUAAACCUCUUUUCUCAAGGAAGAAGACCUGACGGUACUUGAGGAAUAAGCCACGGCUAAUUCCGUGCCAGCAGCCGCGGUAAUACGGGAGUGGCAAGCGUUAUCCGGAAUUAUUGGGCGUAAAGCGUCCGCAGGCGGCCGAUCAAGUCUGCUGUUAAAGAGUGGAGCUUAACUCCAUAGAGGCAGUGGAAACUGAUUGGCUUGAGUGUGGUAGGGGCAGAGGGAAUUCCCGGUGUAGCGGUGAAAUGCGUAGAUAUCGGGAAGAACACCAGUGGCGAAGGCGCUCUGCUGGGCCAUAACUGACGCUCAUGGACGAAAGCCAGGGGAGCGAAAGGGAUUAGAUACCCCUGUAGUCCUGGCCGUAAACGAUGAACACUAGGUGUCGGGGGAAUCGACCCCCUCGGUGUCGUAGCCAACGCGUUAAGUGUUCCGCCUGGGGAGUACGCACGCAAGUGUGAAACUCAAAGGAAUUGACGGGGGCCCGCACAAGCGGUGGAGUAUGUGGUUUAAUUCGAUGCAACGCGAAGAACCUUACCAGGGUUUGACAUCCUGCGAAUCCCUGAGAGAUCGGGGAGUGCCUUCGGGAGCGCAGAGACAGGUGGUGCAUGGCUGUCGUCAGCUCGUGUCGUGAGAUGUUGGGUUAAGUCCCGCAACGAGCGCAACCCACGUCUUUAGUUGCCAGCAUUCAGUUGGGCACUCUAGAGAGACCGCCGGUGAUAAACCGGAGGAAGGUGUGGAUGACGUCAAGUCAUCAUGCCCCCUUACAUCCUGGGCUACACACGUACUACAAUGCUACGGACAGAGGGCAGCAAACUCGCGAGAGCUAGCAAAUCCCAUAAACCGUGGCUCAGUUCAGAUCGUAGGCUGCAACUCGCCUACGUGAAGGAGGAAUCGCUAGUAAUCGCAGGUCAGCAUACUGCGGUGAAUACGUUCCCGGGCCUUGUACACACCGCCCGUCACACCAUGGAAGUUGGCCAUGCCCGAAGUCGUUACUCCAACCCUUGUGGAGGAGGACGCCGAAGGUGGGGCUGAUGACUGGGGUGAAGUCGUAACAAGGUA
rnacentral:rRNA from 1 species